rnacentral:rRNA from 1 species
UACGUAGGGGGCAAGCGUUGUCCGGAAUCAUUGGGCGUAAAGAGCGCGUAGGCGGCCCGAUAAGUCCGCUGUGAAAGUCAAGGGCUCAACCCUUGAAUGCCGGUGGAUACUGUCGGGCUCGAAUCCGGAAGAGGUGAGUGGAAUUCCUGGUGUAGCGGUGAAAUGCGCAGAUAUCAGGAGGAACACCAAUGGCGAAGGCAGCUCGCUGGGACGGUACUGACGCUGAGGCGCGAAGGCGUGGGGAGCAAACAGG